CAGCAGCCGCGGGAAUACGGAGGGUGCAAGCGUUAAUCGGAAUUACUGGGCGUAAAGCGCACGCAGGCGGUCUGUCAAGUCAGAUGUGAAAUCCCCGGGCUUAACCUGGGAACUGCAUUUGAAACUGGCAGGCUAGAGUCUUGUAGAGGGGGGUAGAAUUCCAGGUGUAGCAGUGAAAUGCGUAGAGAUCGGAAGGAACAUCUGUGGCGAAGGCGACUAUCUGGGCCAACACUGACACUGAGGCACGAAAGCGUGGGGAGCAAACAGGAUUAGAUACCCCUGUAGUCCCUGUCUCUUAUAC
rnacentral:rRNA from 1 species